UACGAAGGGAGCUAGCGUUGUUCGGAAUUACUGGGCGUAAAGGGCGCGUAGGUGGUAGUGAAAGUUAGAUGUGAAAGCCCCGGGCUUAACCUGGGAACUGCAUUUAAGACUUCACAACUAGAGUCCGAGAGGGGAAUGUGGAAUUGCAAGUGUAGAGGUGAAAUUCGUAGAUAUUUGCAGGAACACCAAUGGCGAAGGCAGCAUUCUGGCUCGGUACUGACACUAAGGCGCGAAAGCGUGGGGAGCAAACAGG
rnacentral:rRNA from 1 species